rnacentral:rRNA from 1 species
UACGUAGGGGGCAAGCGUUAUCCGGAAUCAUUGGGCGUAAAGCGCGUGUAGGCGGUCCAGUAAGUCCGCUCUGAAAGCCCAGGGCUCAACCCUGGGAGGCGGGUGGAUACUACUGGACUAGAGUACGGAAGAGGAGAUUGGAAUUCCUGGUGUAGCGGUGAAAUGCGCAGAUAUCAGGAAGAACACCAGUGGCGAAGGCGGCUCACUGGCCCGGUACUGACGCUGAGGUGCGAAAGCGUGGGGAGCAAACAGG